GUCCGCACAGUAAACGAUGAAUGCUCGCUGUUUGCGAUACAAUGUAAGCGGCCAAGCGAAAGCGUUAAGCAUUCCACCUGGGGAGUACGCCGGCAACGGUGAAACUCAAAGGAAUUGACGGGGGCCCGCACAAGCGGAGGAACAUGUGGUUUAAUUCGAUGAUACGCGAGGAACCUUACCCGGGCUUGAAUUGCAACCGAACCAUCCGGAGACGGGUGUGCCGCAAGGCGGUUGUGAAGGUGCUGCAUGGUUGUCGU
rnacentral:rRNA from 1 species